rnacentral:rRNA from 1 species
GUAGGUGAACCUGCGGAGGGAUCAUUACACAAAUAUGAAGGCGGGCUGGAACCUCUCGGGGUUACAGCCUUGCUGAAUUAUUCACCCUUGUCUUUUGCGUACUUCUUGUUUCCUUGGUGGGUUCGCCCACCACUAGGACAAACAUAAACCUUUUGUAAUUGCAAUCAGCGUCAGUAACAAAUUAAUAAUUACAACUUUCAACAACGGAUCUCUUGGUUCUGGCAUCGAUGAAGAACGCAGCGAAAUGCGAUAAGUAGUGUGAAUUGCAGAAUUCAGUGAAUCAUCGAAUCUUUGAACGCACAUUGCGCCCUUUGGUAUUCCAAAGGGCAUGCCUGUUCGAGCGUCAUUUGUACCCUCAAGCUUUGCUUGGUGUUGGGCGUCUUGUCUCUAGCUUUGCUGGAGACUCGCCUUAAAGUAAUUGGCAGCCGGCCUACUGGUUUCGGAGCGCAGCACAAGUCGCACUCUCUAUCAGCAAAGGUCUAGCAUCCAUUAAGCCUUUUUUUCAACUUUUGACCUCGGAUCAGGUAGGGAUACCCGCUGAACUUAA